CUAGGGACUAAAACGAUCGAUCAAAAUCUCAUAAAUUUCGUUACUAAGGGACUUGUCUUAUCAAUAGUUCAAGAGGAAUCAGAAGCGGCUGGUUCUUGUCUUGGUUUCCUCUGCUGCUCAGGAGGUGGACCGUCUCUUUUCCUUUCGUACCUCUUGCUUUGAUACUUGGAGUUGUUGCGCUGCUGCUUUGGUUGGUAUGUUGGGUAUGUGCAGGGGAUGAUCUCUCCAUUGAUGUACUUGUCGCCUAAACAUAACAAAAUACCAUACAAAAAUCAAGAUACAGGAGAGAGAGAAAACUUGGAGACAGCACUAAUCAGGGUUAGAUGGGUUAGUACCUCCAUAGUCCUUGUUCUUGACAUCUAUGUAAGAGUCAGGCAAAACCCAGAGAACUCCAGGCAAACCUGUGGAAAUUUCAAAACUGAGCUGUUAGUGUCUUGGAGGUUUACAACGAUUACAAGCACACACAAUCAGUAAGAGGAUUAAAGCUAUAACUGAUCACUAACUCACCCUUGAACUUCUCAGAUGUUUCUUCAUCAAUGGUGCACUGGAAUCCAGUAUACGUGGUGGUACUGAAUGCAUACAUGUUCUUCUUUGCCUCUUCCAUGCUGGAGAACAGACACAAAUAUACACUCAACAAUCACAUGGAACGAAUUGGUUAUACUGGAAAACUGACACAAGUACACUAAUUGCUUACAACAGCAGCACGAUAGUGUAGAUAAGAUUCAAGUUCUCUACAAAAAACAGCCAGCAGCAACAAAUGAACUGAAGAUUCAAGUUCUCUACAAACUACAAAGACAGCCAGCAGUAACAAAAGAACCGAAGAUUCAUUUCACCACUCUAUCCAGGAAAUUCUACUCACGAGUCCAAAUCUAAAGUUUGAGUCUUUACUUGCUUAUAGUGUCCAGACUCCACCACAUCAACUUUUUAACAAAGAGACACCAUUUGACAACAUCUUCAAUUCAUACAUAGCUUGAAGAAAACGUGCAAAAACAGAAUCUUUCAAUUCUAAUAACACUAACUAGUGCCAGUUUGAAUGCUCCAAGUACACAUAUGAAGACAGUCUUUUAGCUUUCCAAAUCCAAAAGAAACAACCUUUUACUUCUACAAUGCAGAGUGGUCCAAGUUCAAGCACCUAAACAGACUCUACUCGGGUUCCAAAUCUCCAUACGACAGCGUUUUCAAAUUAAAUAAACUUGCUCACAAGCUAUAUCAGAAGCUCAAUAUGUUUGCACAUCUCUACCACAUCUCUAGCUAGAGAUUAAUAACUAUUGAGAAGAGAAAAAAACGAAACCUUCCAAGAACAGUCGCAAGAGUGUUGAGAUAAGUCUCAAUCAUCUGGUCCCUCGUUGGCGCCGGAUCCUUGGGGAACUCCAUAACAAUCAGCCAGUGGUUGUAGUCGCAUCCAGGAAGCAUUAUCGUCUCCCUCUGCUCAUUGCUACUGCUCCGUUUCGAUGAAUAAUCCGAAUCCACCGUCGCGGCCUUGACAAUCGCCACCCGACGGCGAGACUCCGCGGUGGAGAUGCUCCGGAGCAGAGGAUGAGUCCAUUUCCCGGAAAGGCGGAUGCUGGAGAGUGUGGGGAAGCGUGUUAGGUGGCUUACGGGAGGUAUGGUUUUGGGGAGUAACGAGGAGGAAGUUGUGAAGGAAGCCAUUCGCAGUUGCAGAAAGCGAGCAAGAGACUGUUCGAAAACACUUUGUCAACAGAUUGAUAGGGAUAAGGUUUUUUUGUUUACCUGCACUAUAAAACGGUACCGCAUUAUAAAAUAUAUUAUAGGUUCGUGGCCUCGUAGUAUUUGGGCCGAGCUAACGUUCAGCCCAUAUGAGUAUAAACUUAAUCCAAAUUUUUAACGACACUUAAUCCAGUUUAAUCAUGCUCUUAUUAUGCAGUUGCCAGUUAUGCGUUUUGAUGACUUUUUUUUUUUGAACGUUUCUUUCUGACAGCAAAAACAACUGAGAAUGAUAUGAAAGACGAAUUAAUUUUUGACAAACAACAAUUUUUCUCAUGAUUAUUUAAAUUUAUAGUAAUUUUUAUUUGAGAGUUUGCAUAAGUUUUCAAGUAUACAAGUACAAUGUUACAGUUACAGAAAAAAAAAAAACGACACCAACAUAUCAUUAUGGGAAACAUAUUUUACUAGACACUAGUAAUCUCUUAUUCGUUUAAUCAGAAAUGCCAAUAACACUCUUCUGUUGAUGAUGCAAUAUUGUUAGCCUUUCCUCUCCACACUAACAACUCUAGUGGUUUACAUUGCAUCAGUGCCUCUCAAAUUUUUAAAGAAAUCUAGGCUAACAAAAAAAAUUGAACCUUAGUAGCACAAUUUUUUAACGGCCAUGAAUGGUGGUGAGUGUGACGUCAUUAAUAGAAUUGCCGUUUUCUCCGCUGAGACAACCACCAGAGGAGCUGCCACCAUCUUGACUUUCUAUCCUCCUCCCCGUAGUAAAGGCCGGAUGCUUCGGAGAUGGAAGAUCAAUAGCGUUUUGCUCCAACAUGAACACAAUGGUAGACAUAUCUACUCUGUCUGAAGCGUUUUCUUGAACACAAAGCAAUCCAAUGUGUAUGCACUUGAUCACUUCCCUCUCAUCAUAACUCUUCACGUCCAUCAGUUUGUCUAUGAUCUCUGUAACUUCACCUUUCUUCCAUUGAUCCCAAAUCUAUACAAUAAGAAAAACAACAACAUUUGCUUAUGUUAUUGUUCUCUCUUAAACAAAAUGCAGUUUUAUUGUACUUACAUGUCCGAGUAGAUUCGAAUAUUCAUUGAAGCAACAGUUGUUUUUCUUUCCGGUAAUGAUCUCUAAAAUCAAUACUCCAAAGCUAUACACGUCAGAUUUUAUGGAGAACUGGCCAUCCAUUGCGUACUCCGGUGACAUAUAACCACUGAGCAAUGAGGUUGAAACCACUUUAAAGAUUGAAAAGAAGAAUGUUGUGUGGAUUGAGAGAGAGAGCUAACUCACUAUGUUCCAACGACCCGUUUCGUGCUUCCUUCAACCUGGUUGCCUCCAAAGAUCCUCGCCAUGCCAAAAUCUGAAAUCUUAGGGAUCAUUUCAUUGUCAAGAAGUACAUUGCUGGCCUUGAGGUCCCUGUGGAUGAUCCUCAGUCUUGAAUCAUGAUGAAGAUAGAGCACUCCACGAGCAACCCCUCGGAUUAUAUCUAUCCGUUGUGGCCAAUCCAGAAGUGCUCUAUGCUCUUCAUCUAGUAGAACACAUGUAAUGAAUUUUCAAAUUGAAUCACCUUAUAAAGUAUAUUAAAAAUAUUAUGAACGUACGGAAUAUGAAAUAGUCUAGACUCUUGUUCGGUAGAUACUCGUAUAUCAACAUCUUUUCUUCCAUUUCAACGCAACAUCCUAAGAUCCUCACGAGAUUCCGAUGCUGCAGCUUUGAUAUCAGCUUGACCUCGUUCUUGAACUCUACCAUUCCUUGGCCUGAGUUUGUUGACAACCUCUUCACAGCUAUCUCCAUACCAUUCUCCAACACGCCCUGAACAUAAACAAAACAACUUGUUACUAACCAUACCACUUAACUUGAGAUUAUGUUUUUGGCUCCUUCCUAAAUCCUAACCUUAUAAACGGAUCCGAAACCACCUGCUCCAAGCUUGUUAUGAAGAGAGAAGCUGUCUGUCGCUUCAGCGAUUGUGGUAAGCUCGAAGAGAGGUAACUCUCGGUUUCUCGCCUUGUCCUGAAGUUGUUCUUCAAAUCUGAGCGAGUCUCCAAAAUCGAUAUAACUAGGGGCGAAGGUCGUUGCAGAUCUUCUAUGCCUGUUUGACUCUGUGCUUGACCAUAGUUACUUGUGACACAAGAAACUAACUUAUGAGCUUAAAAGAUAUUUUACUUACUUUGCCGCUUCCUUACAAAACAGAACAACAUAACCGUUGCUAACAUGACAGCUGCAAUCAAACUGAUGAGAAUCCAAAUGAGUCUCCUCUUCCUUGAUGACCCAUGUCUGUUCCACCGUGCUGGAACAAGCAUUAAAGCAUUAGAGCAGAACUAGGCCUGCGGUUUAGUACCGAGCCGAACCGGAAUUUUCCUUUAAUUCGAUUACGAGUUCGGUUCAGUUCGGCAGGUUUAUAAAAGAACUAAAAGAACUUCGGUUUUUGGUUCGGUAACGGGGUUUUUCAAAAAAAAAUUGUUAAAAACAUUUGAACUGAACUAACCAAAAAUUUGAACCGAACUAACUAAAAUUAUCCGAAUUUAACCAAAUUUAUAGCUGAAAUAUAAUCGAAACUAAAAACGUCGGUUAGUUUCUAUAAAAAAAAUAUUAAAAACCAAACUACCCAAAUAUCAAACCAAACUUUUUUACUGUUCAAUUCGGCGAGAUUUUAGUCGAACCGAACUACCCAAACGCGCAGGCCUAAAGCAGCUUAGAACGGUUGUUUAGAGAAGCUACAGACAAGUUGCAGAGUAGAUAUAUGUGUACCUAGCUCUUCCUUGUCUACGCGUACAUACAAAUCUUGUCCUGAGCUCAAGUAAGUCCUCGUAUCCAACAUAUCACCGUGCCAUGUCAAACACCCUCUUGGUCCUCCUUCACUUUCAUAAUAACCACUUGCGUAAGCGACACAACUGCAGUUCCCUAAGCAUGUCUGUUUACAUUCCUUCAAUGUAACAUUCAUAUCCACACUGAGGCUAGUUCGGCUCUCGAUGAACUCCACCACAGACUCCGCGGUUCCAUCCACAUCUUCUUCCUCCAUCCUGCCUACAUGGCUGACUUAACAUUAUUAUGAACCUUCGGACAAUUUUUUAAAAAAAUAAAUAAAUGUUUUAAAUAUAUAUUUUGUUUUAAAAUUUUUAACAGUAAUAUUUUGUAAUGUAAGAAAAACUAUAUGCAUUAAAAAUGUUUUUAGGACUUUUUCAAUUCUAUUAUCAAUUUUAUUUUGAAAAAUUAUGUGGACAUGGUUAGGAUCAGGGCAGUCGCACUGUUUGUCCCCUAGUUGGCCGGCUCUUGGUACCUGUUUUGUCUUGUAGAUUCUCCAUCAAAGGGUCGACGAGGCAGAUUUGGGGGAGGAACUGGAUGCCGAAAAGGCCGAAAGCCUCUGAGUCCGAUGAUUCAUCGAUCUCGCAGAAGAACACCUUGUUGGCUACGUCAGAUCUGUUGUUGUUGUUGGCGAUGAAAGAGGCGGAGACGAAUGCGAAUUCUCUGCGGAACUCUUGGAGGGGGUUGCUGUUGAGAUCAAUGGAGUUGAAGAAGAUGAUGAGGGAGUAAGGUCGUGGUGUGGAUACGGAGGUUAUGAAUUUCGAAACGGUGUCGUCGGUGAGGCGGAUCACGCCGGAUUCGGAGGAUGAUCGGAGGGAAACGAGUUCUUUGGUGAGAUCUGGUUGCGAAACCGCGAGGAUCGAUAGUAGUGAUAUUGAGAGGAAGAAACGAUGUGGGAGAGUUGUGUGGUCUGCCAUUUUUGAUCUCUUUGAUUGGAUUCGAGAAAGGAAAAUGAGAAUAGAUCCGAGGGAGAUGGAGUUUGGCGGAAGAGACUGGAGAAGUGAAGAAAUGUUCAAAAGUAAGGGUUUAUAUACUGGUGAAAAGGUAAACCUGCUGCGUAAGCUAGAGGGUUCAGUUUAGUGAAAUAACAAAAAAUUUUGACGGCUGUGGGAUUUGAACCCACGCCCUUUCGGACCAGAGCCUAAAUCUGGCGCCUUAGACCACUCGGCCAAACCGUCUUGUUGAUAGUAACCUAUUACAUAUCUAUUCAUAACUAUAAAACUAAUAUUAAACUCAUUUAGUGACUUCUCGGUCAGAAUUAGAGAAAUCAGAUAUGAGAGAAACCAUCUAUUGGAGCAGAAGCUUUAAAAGAUUGAUUCGAUUGAAUAUAAAGUCAAGAGAACACUGCCAGAGUUGGAAUUGUCCACAAAAUAAAAAAAACGCUAUGAAGGAGGAUGAAGACUAAUGCAAGACUAUUCUUACUUAGGUUUCACUUUGUACAACCAUAUGCUUCAUUUUGUGUUUGAUGGAAAAAUCAUGAAACUAUGAGAGUACUGAAAGAUUAAUUGCUCCAAAGGAAAACACUGAAUCACACAGAGAGUCACCGACAUACAUAUGACAAAAUCACUAGCGUCUUCCAAAACCCCAUAAUAUUCAGAUUGUUUCAAGUUUCUACACCAAAACACAGAGAGUUUUCAUACAUAUUAAGUUUUGAAUCCUCUUUCAGCAGAUUUGCAUCCUCCUCUUAACUGUUGUCUGAUUUUUCCAAAGCUGCAAAGUGAUAAAAUGCGUUUUGAGUUAUAAAAUCCAACAUGAAAGAAAGCCAAAAGAAACACAAAGAUAUAUAGAGAGUUUGGAGAGUGUACUGUUGUAGUUGAGAAGCUUCUCAAUCAGAUCAACAUGCGUCAUUAGCAUACGCCUGCAGCAGUAUCUAACUAAGUUGAGUGCAUCAAGUGCGUCCCUGCAAAAAGUAAUAACACAGGUAAAGUAUAAACAAACUAAACAAGAUAGACGCAACACUCUCUUCCAACAACAUAUAAAUAUAACCAGCAGAGCUCAGAUCAUUAGCUACAGCCUUAAACCAUCAACUCUUCAUUGAUUGUUUCUCCACAAACGAAAUGUUGUUAAACCAAUCACAUCACAAGACAAAAUAGUCUCUUCUAACAACAUGUAAAAAAAAACAGUCUUAAACCAUCAACCCUUCAUUAAUUUGUUCCUCCACUAACGAAAUGGUGUUAACUAAUCAAAUAUAUCUAUCACGUAUUAUCUUCCAACAGAAAUCACAGACCAGGUGGUUAAUUUCUCUAAUAUACAAACAAAAGUUCUAUAAUUUGCACAGAGUCUGAUCAGUCAAACAUGUACGCACAAGCAUAAUCAAAGCCAACAAGUUUUACUUAUAUAGCAAAAGUAUGGUCUAAACAUAAACAUGAUGAACAUAAACAGAAGUUUGUUCUAAGCUUAAUACAUUACCAAACAAAUAUCUUCCAUUACUUCGUUUUCUCAAUUAGAUAAGUGGUGUUAACUAAUCUCAUACUUGAGCUAAUUCCCUCUCAAAUUCAAAUAAAGUAUGCUCUUUUAAACUAGUUACGAGAAGAAUCAUGUAGUUUACCCUUCAGUGUAGUCAAGCUGGAGAAGAUCAAGAUACGCAUCCCACUUGUUUCCAAUCACCUGACAAAACCACAAGAGUGAAAGCUUCGUAAAGCUCGAAACUUUAUCUCUCGAAACGAUUUUAUCUAAUCGAUUCAGACCGUAGUUAUCCGAUAAAACAUUCAUCGAGCAGGUAAGAUAAUCUCUUCUUUUGUCGAAUUUUAGAGUAGCUAAAACCCUAGAAAGAAGUAAGAUUUUGAAUCGCCCGAUUUAGCAAAGCCGAGGAAGUGAAACGAACCUUUCCGCAUGUAAAGCACCGUACAGGGAUAAUCAUCUUCUCGAGCUAAGAACUGUGUGAAUCUGUAGACUUGUGUUGGGUCUGCCUCUCUUCUCGAUUUGGGGUUUUAGGGUUUUCUGCUUCGCGCUUCCUUUAAUAAGGUGAAGAACACAAAAGGGACGGCUUCUCGAAACGUUGUCGUUUCGUGUGAUAUUUGAUUGCUGGGUGACUAAAAUUGGGUCCGGUUUGAUUUGAUUUACUUAAAUUUAUUCGGUUUUAAAGCCGGUUUAGUUAGACAGUUUAUUUCCUCUGAUUGUUCCUUGUGUCCCCAUCAUAUCAUUAUUCACCAACAACUUGAACUACUAUUACUCUACACCACCAACAAAGAUUAACAUCUUAAGGUUAAAAACCAAAUUAAAACUGACGUUUUCAGUUAGAACAUUACAUUCUUGUGGAUCAACCUCUUAAGGUAAGAAGAAAAAGAACUGGCAUUCCAAGUUUACUGCAAAAGAUAUUUUUAUACUAAAGGAGAUUUAAGAACUUUUUGCUUCCUUGAACCAUCUGUUAAAGUAUAUAUGUUUUGAUUGAUAUGGGCUCAUCUUAAAAAACAAGACUAUAAAACUCUUAUAAUAAUUUACGUAAUAAAAAUUACAACAAAAAUAUACUAUACUUUAGUGGUAGAGAUGGCGAGUUAAGACAUGAUCAACCUCGAAUAUAUUUGAUAAGAACGUUUGGCCAACCAUACAAGAAAGAGCAUGUAUAUACUCCAAUAAGUCAGCUUCAUCAAUUAUCAAAACAAUGUUGCUCUUACCUCACUUUGACACAUGAUAACUCCGGUUAAUACCUCUGGUAAUAACCAUAAGAGGAGAUCUCGAACUGUCUUCUUCCAACUCCAUCCUCAUAACCAUACGGAUACGAAUCCCCAAAAAGGUAGUCAGAAGUCGUCUUCCACGGAUCAGAAUCAGCGCUAUCCCAGCAAGUAACUUCAGCCGCACGAUUCUCAUCCUCUUGGCGUCUUUUGUUACGUAAGACACAAGGAAAGUAGCCUCCGAAUAUAACCUCGCAGAGAUCAGUCGCUUCUAACCCGUAACCGGAUGGAACAUACAGAGCUUUCACUUCAACUUUAUCUACUGUUUCAGGUUGCACGGUCCCAUUGCUUAAACUGUGAUCUUCUUCUUCUUCCUCUGCCUCUUCUUGAUGAUCAUUUUCUUCUUCUUUAAUGGUUUCUAAUGGUUUAGCUUCCUCUAACGGCUCAGAGAAAGUCACACGUUUCUUAACAGCUUUCUUUUCACCACCAUCAUAUAUUCCAAGAGGAACAGGAGCGAUGAUCUCCGGAGGAGAAGGAGGUGAAGCUUGACCAGCGGAUGAAGAAGGGUAACAAGUUUUCUCCGAUGGAGGAAGAGGUUUCCCGUAAGUUGCAACGAUAUCGUAGCCGCCACCGUACGGCGUCGGGUCGUACUCUUCGAACUCCGGCUCGUUGAAGCCUUGAACAUUGCGAUAGAUACUAAACUGAGAAGGAGACUCGUAUGUUGUUGUUGUGUAGUAACUCGGAUCAUAGAACAAAUGUUUCGGCUCAGACAUGGUGGAGACAGAGUAAACAACAGAUGCAGAGGUUGUUGUUUCAUACUCAUACUCAGAUCCAUUCCAGUUAUCAUAACUAUUGUAACUCAUUGGAUUGAAACCAAACUGGUGUUGUUGAUUGUUAUCAUAAUAGUUAUGAUCAUAGAGAUGAUUAACCUGGUUUGUAUCGUAUGGGAACUCGUAAUGCUCGUAGAAACUGCCCAUCUUGUAGUUUGAUUCUCUUGAGAGAUUGUUGUUUUGGUGAAAGCAGAAGAUUGAGUGGAGCACUGGUUAAAGUGAUUUGAAAGGUUUGGUUUAUAGUCCGUGUAACGUACUGUUUUCAUGUGAUGUGUUGAUAAGGUGGGCACGACUGAUGUAGAUGGUGACGAGUGUGUUGUGACCCUACAAAUAAAGUUGUCUGCAAGCAAUGUUCUUGUCUUGUCUUGAAGUGGUAUUGAGAAAACGUGGGGCAAACAAGCGGUGGACAAAGACAUUCCGACCAAACAUAUUAACCGGACUGAACCAUAACAAAACCAAACCUAAAUUAGUUCUAGAACGAAUAAAUUUUAACCAUAACCCAUACCAGCCAAGGAGCUUAACCAGCGGUAGAUGAAGUUCAAAUCUACAUAAACCAUACAAGAUUGUUCCAAACGAUGAUAAUACGGUAUCAUCACUGAUACUAGACGAUUUAACAUCCGGUUUAAAUAAGCUAGGGACUAAAACGAUCGAUCAAAAUCUCAUAAAUUUCGUUACUAAGGGACUUGUCUUAUCAAUAGUUCAAGAGGAAUCAGAAGCGGCUGGUUCUUGUCUUGGUUUCCUCUGCUGCUCAGGAGGUGGACCGUCUCUUUUUCUUUCGUACCUCUUGCUUUGAUA
rnacentral:lncRNA from 1 species